rnacentral:tRNA from 1 species
GGGGCUGUGGCUCAGUGGCAGAGCACUUGCCUCAUAAACAUGAGGCAUUGGAUUCAAUCCUCAGCACCA